rnacentral:lncRNA from 1 species
UAGAUAUGACAUCGUCGUCGUCAUUGUUUAGCCCCCAGGUCAGUUUAUGAAUAAAGGCAUUCCAGACAUUUUGUCUUUGAUCUAUGACUCCAUAAUCCGAUAUCUCGUCUCUUUUUACAGGACAAUAGUUCUUACAGUCUCCUACAAACGUGAAGAAGCUUUUCAUUUCUCGGGGCCAAUUGCAAGAGCAUAAGAACUUGUCGGAAGCGCAUCUAUGCUGAGAAAUUUAAUGAAUCUCUAAUUUUCCAAAUUUAUAGGUAUGUAACUUAUAUUGAAGUAAUGUUUUGGUUUUAAGGCUUGAAAUGUUUGUGUGUGUGUGUGUGUGUGUAUGUGUGUUUUCAGAAAUUUGGACAGCAUAUUUCAGAUUUGAAUGCAGACGAAAUUUCACCCAGAAGCGAAGAAACUCUCCAUGCAUGUGUCGUAUGACUUCAUUACUUCAAUGUUGUUAUUACUGCUAUUAUUGCUUAGCUCCAAAACCAGUCUCCAUCAAGCAAACUUACGAGGCUCCCUUAUUGGCUCGGUAUGGUCGAUAUAGAUUUAUAAGGUACACUGUCUCUAGAUGUACGUGAAUAUUUUCACUAUAGUGUGUUUGGUAUGUUCUCAGCGAGUCAAGUAUGUGAUCCAGGUUCGGUUAUACUUCUGCCAAAACUCUGAAAUACCUAUUUAUGGGUUAAUCUGAGGAAGGAUAGCGGCUAUAACCUCUUUGUAGGACGUCAAGAUUGCUGUAUGAAAAGGACAAGGACACCAGAAGCAUGAUUCCAAUAUCUGCAACAGAAUGGACUCUACCAAAAGCAUUCAAGGACUAAGAGGUGGUGAGGUUAAAUCAAGCAACUGAUUAAGUCUAGCACUCGAAUAGAUACACUCUUCUCUUUCUUCCUCUUGUGAGAGGGCUUCUUCAUAAUUUCUGUCCGAAAUUCCUUUUCUUGGUUUAAUCUCUGUUCGAGCGCUCGUAUGUAAAGAAACCUAUGUUUUAACACGAACGUACGAGCUCACACAUUGAUAGAGGGAAAGAAAGGGUGAAAAGCGAGUAGGGAGGGGAGCGAAAAGGAAAUCGAGAAAGUGAGUCAAAAAGAACAGAGAGUCUUCUUAAUCAGUCAGUGAGAAUGAAAUUUGAUAGACAGACAGACAGACAGGCAGGCAGGCAGACAGACAGACAGACAGACAGACAGACAGACAGACAGACAGAUAGAUAGAUAGAUAGAUAGAUAGAUAGAUAGAUAGAUAGAUAGAUAGAUAGAUAGAUAGAUAGAUAGAUACAGUUUAACUUAUUUUCAAAGUACACUGUGGAAGAUAGGUGGGUGUGCUAUUACAUAAAACCUAAUUAGACUUUCAGUUUGAAGUCAACGACAAACUGAUAUUAAAAUAGUAUGUGUUUCUUUAGUCACACAUUCUUAAUAUAUAAAUACAUGCACACAUAUAUUGUGUGUAGUAUAUACUUUCAUACAUGCAUCCAUAUAUAUAUAUAUAAAAUAUAUAUAUAUAUAUAUAUAUAUAUAUAUAUAUAUAUAUAUAUACACACACAAGGGUUGGACAAAAUAAUGGAAAUACCUAGCAUCAUAGAAUCAUAAGUUUGAAAUAUCUAUAAAACCGCCAAAAGCUUAUUUAUUUUUAUGUUUUUUUUUAUUCAUUAUUAGUGUUGCUUAAUAUGUUUUGCUAAAAUUGCUGUUUAUUUUCAGAUAUCAACAGAGAAAGGUA